GCCAGUAGGAUGGAUAUGACCCUCGGCUUGUAACCGAGUGGGUUCGGGUUCGAAUCCCGAGUAAGGCA
rnacentral:tRNA from 1 species